rnacentral:rRNA from 1 species
AACGAACGCUGGCGGCAUGCCUAACACAUGCAAGUCGAACGAGAACUUCGGGUCUAGUGGCGCACGGGUGCGUAACGCGUGGGAACCUGCCCUUAGGUUCGGAAUAACUCCCCGAAAGGGGUGCUAAUACCGGAUAAUGUCUUCGGACCAAAGAUUUAUCGCCUUUGGAUGGGCCCGCGUUGGAUUAGCUAGUUGGUAGGGUAAAAGCCUACCAAGGCGACGAUCCAUAGCUGGUUUGAGAGGAUGAUUAGCCACACUGGGACUGAGACACGGCCCAGACUCCUACGGGAGGCAGCAGUGGGGAAUAUUGGACCAUGGGCGAAGGGCUGAUCCAGCAAUGCCGCGUGAGUGAUGAAGGCCUUAGGGUUGUAAAGCUCUUUUACCCGGGAUGAUAAUGACAGUACCGGGAGAAUAAGCUCCGGCUAACUCCGUG